UACGUAGGGGGCAAGCGUUGUCCGGAUUUACUGGGUGUAAAGGGCGCGCAGGCGGAUUGAUAAGUCAGAGGUGAAAUCCUGCAGCUUAACUGCAGAACUGCCUUUGAAACUAUCAAUCUUGAGUACGGAAGAGAGAGACGGAAUUCCAGGUGUAGUGGUGAAAUACGUAGAUAUCUGGAAGAACACCAGUUGCGAAGGCGGUCUCUUGGUCCGUUACUGACGCUCAGGCGCGAAAGCGUGGGUAGCAAACAGG
rnacentral:rRNA from 1 species